UACGUAGGUGGCAAGCGUUGUCCGGAUUUACUGGGCGUAAAGAGCGCGCAGGCGGUCAGAUAAGUCGAAUGUGAAAGCCCCCGGCUCAACUGGGGAGGGUCAUUCGAUACUGCUCGACUCGAAGGCAGGAGAGGGAAGCGGAAUUCCCGGUGUAGUGGUGAAAUUCGUAGAUAUUCGCAAGAACACCAGUGGCGAAGGCGGCUCACUGGCCCGAUACUGACGCUGAGGUGCGAAAGCGUGGGGAGCAAACAGG
rnacentral:rRNA from 1 species